rnacentral:rRNA from 1 species
CCUACGGGAGGCAGCAGUGAGGAAUAUUGGUCAAUGGACGAGAGUCUGAACCAGCCAAGUAGCGUGAAGGAUGACUGCCCUAUGGGUUGUAAACUUCUUUUAUAUGGGAAUAAAAUGUUCCACGUGUGGGCUUUUGUAUGUACCAUAUGAAUAAGGAUCGGCUAACUCCGUGCCAGCAGCCGCGGUAAUACGGAGGAUCCGAGCGUUAUCCGGAUUUAUUGGGUUUAAAGGGAGCGUAGGUGGAUUGUUAAGUCAGUUGUGAAAGUUUGCGGCUCAACCGUAAAAUUGUAGUUGAAACUGGCAGUCUUGAGUACAGUAGAGGUGGGCGGAAUUCGUGGUGUAGCGGUGAAAUGCUUAGAUAUCACGAAGAACUCCGAUUGCGAAGGCAGCUCACUGGACUGCAACUGACACUGAGGCUCGAAAGUGUGGGUAUCAAACAGGAUUAGAUACCCGUGUAGUC